UGAGGAAUAUUGGGCAAUGCCCGCAAGGGUGACCCAGCAACGCCGCGUGGAGGAUGAAUGUCGUAAGAUUGUAAACUCCUGUUAGAGGGGAAGAAUAGUACCGGUUGGACCGGUAUAUGACUGUACCCUCAGAGAAAGCCCCGGCUAACUACGUGCCAGCAGCCGCGGUAAUACGUAGGGGGCAAGCGUUGUCCGGAUUUACUGGGUGUAAAGGGCGCGCAGGCGGGAUAAAAAGUCAGUGGUGAAAUCCUACAGCUUAACUGUAGAACUGCCUUUGAUACUUUUAUUCUUGAGUUCGGGAGAGAGAGACGGAAUUCCAGGUGUAGUGGUGAAAUACGUAGAUAUCUGGAAGAACACCAGUUGCGAAGGCGGUCUCUUGGUCCGACACUGACGCUGAGGCGCGAAAGCGUGGGGAGCAAAC
rnacentral:rRNA from 1 species